GGGCCCAUGGAGGUAAUGGCAACCUCACUUGGAUUGACACCGGGAAUCGCGGGUUCGAUUCCCGCUGGGUCCACCA
rnacentral:tRNA from 1 species